CAAGGGAUGUGAAUUUAGAAUGACCCAAAAUUCGUCUAGAAACCCCCCUGUAUACACCUCACUUAGUCUUUAUGCAUAUGUAUUAUUUAAGUAUACCUCAGUUUUUUAGCUUUAAUUAUUUGAGAAAAAAAGUACUUUAUUAUUUUUCUAGAAAGAUGAUAUUUUAUUUUAAUAGUUUUACAUGAAAUUCUAUAUAUUCCAAUAUUAUAUUUUUCUAAGAUAAGAAAAUUGUAAAAUAUGAUAGUCUACCCUACAAAGUAUAAGCUUUUUUGUUACCCCCACCAUACAUUCUCUUUAUUUAAAGGGUACGCUAUUAUAUUACAAUAGUAUUAUUAUAUUAAGGUUGUAUAAUUGAUAUUUUUGUAAAGAAAACCAUAUAUAUUAUUUUUGUUAAUGGAAGGAUCCAUUUAAGUUCUGAAAAUUAUGCAUGUAUAGAUUAAGAAGGACUGUAUAAGUGUAAUAUAUGUGAUCUGAGUAGACUUUAAAAUUCAAAGUAUAUACAGUGCUAAAUCCUGAAAACAUAGCUAUAAUCAUAGAGAGAGAGAUCGAGAUCAGAGAGGAGUGCCAUACAGCAGCCUGAAAGAGUAUUUGAUUAUCGUGAAAUAUCUGAGCUCGAGGCUGGCACAUGGCACAUGGCUCUUGAAUAACAUCCGGUGUGUCUCUCUUGUUUAUAAGAAUUUAAAACCCAUUCAAAGAUUGUGAUUUAUGCGUCCCUGGGGCUGUGAACCAGAAUGAAAGAGCCCAGGACAUUGAUGAAGACAAGGAAAGAAGACACCUGAGAAGAACCAGAAGAAUAAAAGUGACAGGUUGGAAUACAACCAUUUGGGACAUUUAUUUUUGUAGAUGAAAGUUUAUUUUACUGUAGAUGUGUAAUGAUAUUUAACUCAAUAUAUCAACAACAAGUGUAAACUUA